rnacentral:tRNA from 1 species
AAGUGAGAAGUAAAAUUACAAUCAGUUUCGACCUGACAUAUGGUGAAAUAUAAAUGCUCACCCUCACUUA